AUUUAAUCAAUUUAUGUUUGGGUUUGGUACUAUAUCUUUGGAUCGGUAUCGGUUAUGUUCUUCGGAUUCAUUUUUCCAAAUCCUAAUAAUUAAAUGAAAAACAAAUAUCAACAUAUUUUUCAAAAUAUACAUCCGCGCGCCUGCGCGGGUCAAAAACUAGUUGUCUUCUUAUUAUCCAGUCAUCUAUUAUUAUAAUAACAUUUAGAAGAUGCAAAUGCUUUCAAAUGUUCUUUGCUUAAUGAUUUCAAAUAAAGCUUUCGGUAGAAAAUUUACAGUUUUUUUUUGUCAACACAUUUACUGAUUUACAGUUAAAAUAUAUAAAAUUUUAAAAAAUUUAAUAUAAUUAAUUUAUUGUACUUUGUAAAUAAAAAAAAUAUGUUUAUAUUCAUCUUGAAACUUAAUAUAUUUAUAUUUUUUAUAUUUUUAUUAUUAAAAUAAGGUAUCAUAUUUAAUUACAUAUAUUUAAAUAUAUUUUUAGUUUGAAAUAUUAUUCUUUUAAUAUAUAUAUAUAUAUAUUUAUAUUAAAAUAUAUGUAUUAAUAUAUAUAUUUAUAUAUAUAUUUAUAUAUUAAAAUAUAAAUAAAUAAAUAAAUAAAUAUAUAUUUAAUGUACCUCUCAAAGUCUUUUUAUUAUCCAAUCAUCUAUUAUUAUAAUAACAUUUAGAAGAUGCAAAUACUUUCAAAUGUUCUUUGCUUAAUGAUUUCAAAUAAAGCUUUCGGUAGAAUAUUUACAGUUUUUUUUUUGUCAACACAUUUACAGUUAAAAAUAUAUCACUCAAAUUACGCUUUGAAAAACUUUACUCUCUCAAAUAAGAAAAUUCAGUUGUAGUACUUAAGGAUCAAAUCCACAGGGAGUGUGGAUACAUAAUGGACUUAGAAAUCAAGGUUAAGCUAGGAAAAUAAUAUAAAAGCAGUAAACAAAACACUAAGUAAAUAGAAUGAUUUGUAAUUUAUGGGAGAAAGCGCUAAAUCUAGGGAUUUAUCAAUCAAGAUAUUCAAUACUACAAUCAAAGAUGCUAAGAGUUUUAUUGGUUCAAUUCUAGAAUUCGAAUUCAAUAGCAAGUAAUCCAGCUCUCGCAUGCAAUUACUAAUCAAGUGUCUAAAUCUUAUGUUUCGGUUGUCUCAUGCGAACAAAGAAUGAGUAUCGAUCGAUACCAAUGGUUGAGUGUCGAUCGAUACUACUUCAAACAAGCAUUAACGCUCAAUCGAUAAUGUUCAACUAAAUCCUAGACCAACUCUCUUAUGUGCCUAGAUAUCUAAUCCAUUCAGGGUCUGGGUUCCGUUAAUCAAUUACACUCUCGUGCCUCUCAAUUCUCCUAUGAUUCUAGGUUCAAAUAACCAGUCACACUGUCGUGCUAUACCAACUACUCUAGAUCCUAGUAUUACAAGCUACCCAAGUGUAGAGAUCUAUAAACAACCCUAGAAAUUCUAAUAGAAUAUCAAUUUGACAUUAAGCUCAUGAAAUUCCUAAAUCUAACAUGAUGCUUACUCAGACAUGAAAACAAUAACACAAAUCAUAAUCUCAAUAAAGUAAUAGAUAAAGAAAUAAAUAAUAAAACCAAUCGAGUUCCAAUCAAUAUAUUUAGGAGAAUUGAUCGUCUCUCUAUACCUAAAACUAAGAAUAGAAUAAAGUGUAUAAAUCGUAGCCAUCAACAAUGGCUUAAAAUCACAUAAAUAGAGUUCAGAGUUGGCCAAAGGUAUUCUGGUAAUUUGUAGUGAUUUCUGAGCUUAAGUCGGUCUUGAAAUAUACUAGGACCGUCUUCUGGCAUCAUUGUCGAGUGAAACUAAGGCUGUGGUGUCGAUCGACAGUCCUUUUAAUCCUCGACAGCUUUCUCUUGUGAGGCAGACGUAUCACUCUUCAGUAAAACAAAAAUAAAUUUAGAUCUAACCGUCAGAUGGACCUCAAAUUGGUGACAGUAGAAAGGUAACUCAGAGCUCUAUCUUGUGUAAAAAGAUGAGUUCAAUCUAACCAUGGGAAGGUCUCCAUGCCUAUGUAUUUGGCCGAGAAUUACUGUCUAAACAAGAAAAUAUAAUUUUGAAAGUACAAUAAUAUGAAAAUAUAAUAUAUAUAUAUGUAUAUAUAUAUAUAUAUUAUUAUGGAAAGUCCAUUAAAAUAAAUUUGAAUAGCUGAUAGGAUGUUAAUUCAUUAUAUAGUAUGAAAAUAUAUAUAUAGGUGAAGUCAAGUAUUUGACCAAAACAUGAUAUAAUGGAUUGAUUUACUUUUCUUAACAAAUACUGAAUCUCGUCAAGUAUUUGACAAAAACAUGAUAUAAAUGGAUUGAUUUACUUUUCUUAAAUUGACUGAGUUGCAAAACUUUGACCCUCGGUAGAUGAAGUUGAAUCGCCUUUCGGGUUGGUUCUUUUUCAUUGCCGGUAAAUACCACCUUUUUCGUCUUCUGGCAUCAUUGUCUAGUGAAACCAAGGCUGUGUCGAUCGACAGUCCUUUUAAUCCACGAUAGCUUUCUCUCGCGAGGCAGACGUACAACUUUUCAGUAAAACAAAAAUAACUUUAGAUUUAACAUUCAGAUGGACCUCAAAUCGGUGGCAGUAGAAAAGUAACUCAAAGCUCUAUCUUGUGUCAAAAUAUGGGUUCAAUCUAACCAUGGGAAGGUCUCCAUCCAUAUCUGAAUUUCGGACGCGUAUGUGCAAUUCUGCACUUCAAAAGCUCCAUAAUCACCAAAGUUCUCUAAAACGUAUCUGAACCUGAAAAUACUCUAAAACAGAUUCCAAAUACAUAUAAUAGAAUCUAAAUAGGUCAUAUAGCAUGGUCUAAAAAUGGUAAAAUCCAUGUAUAUCACCCAGCAAAUUAGUUGCACACAACUCUAUUUUUUUUUGCAGGCAAGCCAUAAAUGGACCCAUGGGACGAGAGGAGCUUAGGAAAGGCUUUUGCAGAUUUUCUGUAUUUUUGUCUAACAAGUAGGUGUGUAAAAUGUGAUAAGGUUUUGAUUUUCCGGCCGGAUCUAUAAUAUUUUUUUGGUGUACUUGAAACAUUUGUAUUAUAUGAAUAAUCCGAGUUUGUGAAAAUUUUGGGUUGCCAUGUGGUACUAAUUUUUGUUCAGGCGACCUAACACAUAUCUCAGGUUUAAAAGCCUGUGGCUAUAAAUCCGGUUAAAGUUUAAUCUAACAAAAUUUGUUACAAAACAAAAGAACUGUUCAACUGCUACACAACAAAUUAUAAUUUUAUUGCACUAUACACUACAAUUUCCAUAAAAUAAAUCACCAUUACUUUUUUUUUGUAAAAUUAAAAACAAUAUCAAAAAUUAAACCUAAAAAUGGUAGAAUACAAAAACCAAAAAUCAAAACUUAAAACCAAAACCACAAUAUAAAAUACCAAAACAUACCAAAAUCUACUUAAACAAUCAAUGCCUAUGUAUUUGGCCGAGAAUUAAUGUCUAAACAAGAAUAUAUAACUUUGAAAGUACAAUAAUAUGAAAAUAUAGUAUAUAUAUAUAUUAUGGAAAGUCCAUUAAAAUAAAUUUGAAUAGCUGAUAGGAUGUUAAUUCAUAGUAUGAAAAUAUAUAUAGGUGAAGUCAAGUAUUUGACCAAAACAUGAUAUAAAUGGAUUGAUUUACUUUCCUUAACAAAAACUGAAUCUCGUCAAUUUGAUUAUAAAUAUGUCUUAUUUGAAAGAAAUGUAAAGCAGGCUUUUUUUAUCAAACAGUGAGAAAUAAAACUUUAAGAACUCUUACGUAUUUCAACAUAAUUAUGGCAACCAAGAAGUUUCUAUCUCUUAUAUACUUGAUGGUGUUGGUUCAGAUCUUUCUACCAAUGAUUUCAGGACAAACCAAAGAAUGUUUUCUGCAACAACCAUGUGAAAACUCACCGGCAUGCGAUGAGUUUUGUAAAUCUAAAGGAUACAUACAAGGAGGAUAUUGUCAACACUAUCUUGGCCCAAAACACAACAAUUGUUGCUGUUACCUUGUUGAUUCAGAAAAGUUUUUCAAAUUUGAUGAUACCAAUGUACUCAUUACUAAUUAGUUCAUCAUUGUAGUCAGUGCCAACCGGACUCACAUGGCACCUAUAGCGUACUAAAAAAUAAUGCCCUUUAAACAUAUUAAUUUUUACUAUAUUUCAAAUAUACUAAAAAUUAUAUCAAAUAAUAU